CAGUCGCCGCGGGAAUACGGAGGAUCCAAGCGUUAUCCGGAAUCAUUGGGUUUAAAGGGUCCGUAGGCGGUCUUGUAAGUCAGUGGUGAAAGCCCAUCGCUCAACGGUGGAACGGCCAUUGAUACUGCAGUACUUGAAUUAUUGGGAAGUAACUAGAAUAUGUAGUGUAGCGGUGAAAUGCUUAGAGAUUACAUGGAAUACCAAUUGCGAAGGCAGGUUACUACCAAUUGAUUGACGCUGAUGGACGAAAGCGUGGGUAGCGAACAGGAUUAGAUACCCGAGUAGUCCUGUCUCUUAUACC
rnacentral:rRNA from 1 species